UGGGGUGCAUCUUUUUUGAUGGAGUAAAGGUGAUGCUUCUUUCGGGCUGACAACAAUUGCUGUUAUUAAACAAUCCAUUAAUAACUACAACUAUUGUCACGCCGACCCGAGUUUGACCUCCACUUCCAUCGAAACAUCCGCUCUCCCCCUAAGAGUGUAACCACCUCAGUGUUAGCCUUCGGAUAAGUAUGAAAGGUUAAAGAUACUAGCUGCGUGGAAAUAGAAAAAAAUUACGUUGAUUG
rnacentral:lncRNA from 1 species